rnacentral:lncRNA from 1 species
UCUCAGUAUUUUUAAUUAAUUUUAUUUCAAUCAUUUUAAAAGUGUUGAGAUUUAUUCUGUGGUCUAGUUUAGUGACUGUUCCAUAAGCACUUAAUAAUAAGAGAUGUUUUCCUAUUGUUAGGUGUGGAGUUUUGUUCAUGACAAACAGGUUAUGUGCAUCAACAGGAUUAUUCACAUCUUUUUUUAUCUUUACUACACUUGUUAACUACUGGCUCUAUCAAUUAUGGAAAGAGAAUUUCUAAAAUCUCCAACUAUAAUUGUGGAUUUGGAAAUUUCUCCCUACAAUUCGUUGGGUUUUGCUUCAUAUACUCUGAAGCAAUUAUUAGGUACCUACAUAUUUAGGAUUGCUCUGUCUUUUUGUGGUAGUGCCCUUUAUCAUUAUAAAAUGCCUAUCCAUCAUUUGUGUUACUACUUCUUUAUGUCUGGUACUCUGGUAUUAAUAUAGCCCUUCUGGCUUCCCUAUAGUGUUUGGGUGGUAGAUCCUUUUCUUUCAUUAAGUCCUAAUCUCUGUCUUUAUCUAAUAAAAGCAUGUCAGUUGUCUGCUCCCAGACUGAUACCAUACUGAUUUGGUAGCAGUAGCUUUGCAGUAUGUUCUGACAUCCAGUAAGGCAGUCUCUCCCCUUCCUUAUCCCUCUUCCUCAUCAUGCCUUUGUUGGUAUCCUCACAGGAACUGACUCUCCUAUAUACAUUUUAAGGUUGUCUUAACCAAUUAGAAACACUGGGCAGAUCAGCGGUUACCUAGGGAUGAGGCAGAAGGAAUGAUGGAUCACAAAUGGAGGAGAUGGGAGUUCCCGUCGUGGCGCAGUGGUUAACGAAUCCGACUAGGAACCAUGAGGUUGCGGGUUUGGUCCCUGCCCUUGCUCAGUGGGUUAAGGAUCUGGUGUUGCAGUGAGCUGUGGUGUAGGUUGCAGAUGUGGCUCGGAUCCCACGUUGCUGUGGCUCUGGCGUAGGCCAGUGGUUACAGCUCCAAUUCAACCCCUAGCCUGGGAACCUCCAUAUGCCAUGGGAGCGGCCCAAAGAAAUAGCAAAAAGACAAAAAACAAAACAAAAAAAACAAAUGGAGGAGAGGGGACGGUUAUCCUGACAGUGGUGGUGGUUACACGUGUGUAUACAUACACUGAAACUAAUCAAGUUGUACACCUUAAAUAUAUCCAUCAAUCCCACGGGGCUGGUUUUCAGAGUUUAUGUUGAGUACAACGAGGACCUUGACCACUUGGCAAAUGAGUAAGUGGCUAGAUUGAAACUAGGAAGUUUUGAAACAAGGUCCUACCUUAGUGCAUAAGGGACUAUAUUCAAUAUCCUGUGAUAAACUGUAAUGGAAAAUAAUAUGAAAAAGAAGCAUAUGCGUAUAUGCUUCUUUUUCAAAUAUAUGUAUUUGUUGUACAGCAGAAAUUAACAGAAAGUAAAUCAACCAUACUUCACUAAUUUUUUUUUCCUUUUCUGGCUGCCUUACAGCAUAUGGAGUUCUCAGGUCAGGGAUCAGAUCCAAGCCACAGCUUUGGCAACCCUGGAUCCUCUGACCCACUGCACAGGCGGGGCUGGGGAUCGAACCUGCAUCCUGGCACUGCAGAGACACUGCCGAUCCCAUUGUGCUACUGCAGGAACUCCCAAUAAAAUAAACUUUUUUUAAAAAAAGAAAGAAACUGGAGUUCCUGUUGUGGCUCAGUGGAAACAAAUCUGAGUAGCAUCCAUAAGGACACAGGUUUGAUCCCUGGCCUCAAUCAGUGGGUUAAGGAUCCAGCAUUGCUGUGAGCUGUGUAGAUCGCAGAUACAGCUCGGAUCUGGCAUUGCUGUGGCUGUGGUGUAGGUUCCUAGCCUGGGAACUUCCAUAUCCCACCAGUGCGGCCCUAAAAAGACAAAUAAAUAAAUAAAUGUAAAAAAAAAUUUUUAAAUAAAAAUAAAAAACUAAGGAGUUCCCAUCGUGGCUCAGUGGUAAUGAAUCUGACUAGUAUCCAUGAAGAGGCAGGUUCAAUCCCUGGCCUCGCUCAGUGGGGUUAAGGAUCUGGCAUUGCCAUGAGCUGUGGUGUGGGUCGCAGAUGCAGCACAGAUCCUGUGUUGCUGUGGUUGUGGUGUAGGUGGGCAGCUGCAGCUCUGAUUUGCCCCCUAGCCUGGGAACCUCCAUAUGCUGAGGGUGCGGCCUUAAGGAAAAAAAAAAAGCUAAGAAGCGUUAUUUCCCCUUGUUACGAAAUUAAUUAACCCUUGACCUCAUGUUACUAGUUUAGUGUAUUCGGUAUUAAUGCUGCUAGCUAGGCACUUCUUGGAUGGCUGGCAGUGAGCUGCCCACAGACAGCUUCCCUGGGUGGCUUAGAGCAACCAGGUGCCAGCAGGUGAGGCAGCCGGGAACCCAGUGCCCUGGACACACCCCCUCAGCCCUUCGUGAUGUGGUCUCCCAUCACCAUCCCUCAGGCAGGUUCACACAGGACAGUCCCCAGCCAGACUCCUCCUCUUGCAGGGCUUCUGCGGCACCUUCUGAUGAGCCUGGAGGGUUCUGUUGGAAGGUGGAUUUCAAGCAAGUCCUUCCAAGGAAGCCCCUGUAACCCCAUAAGCGGUGCCCGAACUCUCAUGGGUCUGAGGCUCAGCCUGGGGACGGGCUGGCCUCACUCCCAGAUGAAAUGACUACUGCUCCUGUGCUCUUUAGAGCCCUUUUAUGAGCCAAUCCCCAGGACCCCUGCUCAUACGUCUUUAUUCCAAGCUCUCCCUGUACAAGUUUCUGUGUGGUUUGGGUCUUCUGGGUGGACCUGGACUGAAACACAGGCUCAGAAAACAAUUCCUCAGCAAGCAUCAGCUCUCUUUUGUGAAAAAGGAAGGAUGACUGAGAAGGCGGCAUCGAAAGCCCAGAGGAACCAAGAGCCAUGGAGAUGGCCACCAGGAUCCAGGUCCUGAUAGUCACGCUGCUGCAUGGACCCUCCCACAUUUAGGGAAGACGAUAAGAUCCUGAGGAGAUGACAGAGCGACAAGAUGAGUCCCAGAGAUUUUGUAGCUUCCGCCUUGGGUCACUGGAUUUGGUGGACCAGAGGUGCUAUGGCAGUAGGAUACGACAGGAGCCAUAGGCAGAGCUCCCCACAGUGAGGAGCUGAGGCUCCCAUCUGAAUUCUGCGAAUAUGUGACGCGUCUUAUCAACAGUCUGGAGGGAGGUAUCUUGGCAGGAGACCCUUCAGCUCCAAUCGAACCUUCAGAUGACUGCAGCCCUGAUGGACAUCUUGACUGCAACCUCAAACGCUGGUGACCCCCAAGCCAAACUAUCCCACAGCUGCUCCCAAUUCCUCACCCAACGAAACUGUGAGAUAACAAAUGAUUACCAGGAGUUCCCGUCGUGGCGCAGUGGUUAACGAACCCAACUAGGAACCAUGAGGUUGUGGGUUCCAUCCCUGACCUCGCUCAGUGGAUUACAGAUCCAGCAUUGCUGUGAGCUGUGGUGUAGGUCCCAGACACGGCUCAGAUCGGGCGUUGCUGGGGCUGUGGCGCAGGCCGGCAGCUGCAGCUCCGAUUUAACCCCAAGCCUGGGAACUUCCAUAUGCUUCGGGCGUGGCCCUAAAAAGACAACAAAUAAAUAAAUAAAUAACCAGGAAAACUGAGGAGAAGAGCAGUGACCUGGGGGCUCUGGCCUGCCAGGUGCUAAAACAUGCCACAGAACCUCUAUAAUGAAAACGGCUUGCUAGAGGCAUAUGACUAGGCUUGCAAACCAAUGCAACAUAUGAGAAGGUACAGAAAACCUAAGAAUUAUGACAGUUGCCAUAUGACAAAGGAUUUAUGUUAACUCUUAAAUUAAUGGAGGAAAGAGACUUUUUAAUAAAAGACCUUUCCUACUACCCCAAAUACAGAGAACAAACUGUUCUGGAUCUAAGCAGACUUAAAACAACUAAACGCAACAUCUGGACUUUGACUGAAUCCUAGUUUGAACAAACCAGCGGUGAAAUAUAUUUUGGGGACCCUAAGGAAAUUUGACUAUGGACCUGGUAUUUGAUGACACUAAGGAAUUAUCGUUAAUUCUGUUUGGCUAAGCAGGAAAUGGUCAUUUCUUUAGAGAUGCAAGUUACUGAAAGAAUUUGAGGUAAAAAUACCAUGUUUUCAGCAGAAAAAAAAUAUUAAGUUGCAGUGAUUCUGGUAUAUUAUCAUAGGAACUCAGAAAAGCUCUGAAUCCUUCUAAUUUGGGCAGCUCACUACUUUCUAGUCUGAAUUUUGUCAUGAAAAAAAAAAAAAUCAUUCUAGAAAAUGCCCCAAACGGCACCCACAUCAACUCUCACCAGUGGACAUGCAUAGCCAGCUGUGCUAUAUCUGGUUUAGUGCCUAAGAGAACCCGGCCUCGCGCCCCAGGACUGCCAGGGCAGCUGCCAGGGGUUUUUGCAAAAGCAGGAAAUCAUUCCCCCUGCCCCGCCCCAGGUCAGCAAGGCCCGGAAGCGGGGCCUGAGGGCGGCAAGACGUGGAAACGUCUGUCCAGAAGGAGUCCUGGCGGGCGUGCCCACAGCAUUCCCAGCCCCCGCCCCGGGGAUGCAGCGGAGCCCUGGGAAAAUGGGGUCAAGGGCGGCUCCACUUUCUCAGCUCCGCAGGAGCCCAGGAUGCCCCGAGUCGGGCCGGAGCAGCAGCAGCAGGACUGUGCACACCCCUUCCCCAGGGCAGAGCUGGGAGCAGGGCAGGGACAGGGAAGGGACAGGGAAGGGCGGGGCACCAGGGAGAUGCCGUCUUGUCACCACAGCCCUCUUUCACUCCAGGGCCGCCUGGCGUGGGAGAACUUGGGUCACACGAGUACAAACCCUGGCUCGGUCGAGAAAGGACAGAAGCUGCAAUCUCGUCUCUCCCAGGGCAAAGGUCACCACUCAGCUUGACCGGACACAUCACAGAGGGGGCAGCCAGCAGGGCCUGCCACCUUGGGCCUUUCUAGAAAGCCUGGGCUGUCAGUGUCCUAGAGACAGUUUUAAGCUGGAAGACGUUUCCUUCCACAACAGGUUGACAAUUGCCUUUACCUCCCAAGCUGAGGUUUAUGUAUUUAAUCUUGAAUGGGGUUUGUGUUCAUCUUAUAAACUCCUGAAGCUGCCCUUGUGACACUGGGCUACCUGGUGACCUGGGGCCUCGGUCCCCUGUCUGCUCAGGGGAAGAGCCUCACCCUAGACCCAGAUGGACACACUUCUCAAGCCAACUCUUCAUCACCACAGAUUCUUUUUGCAAU